UACAGAGGUGGCAAGCGUUGUUCGGAAUUACUGGGCGUAAAGGGCGCGUAGGCGGCCUUCUAAGUCAGACGUGAAAUCCCCGGGCUUAACCUGGGACCUGCAUUUGUGACUGCAUUGCUGGAGUGCGGCAGAGGGGGAUGGAAUUCCGCGUGUAGCAGUGAAAUGCGUAGAUAUGCGGAGGAACACCGAUGGCGAAGGCAAUCCCCUGGGCCUGCACUGACGCUCAUGCACGAAAGCGUGGGGAGCAAACAGG
rnacentral:rRNA from 1 species